AUUGAACGCUGGCGGCAUGCCUUACACAUGCAAGUCGAACGGUAACAGGUCUUCGGAUGCUGACGAGUGGCGAACGGGUGAGUAAUACAUCGGAACGUGCCUAGUAGUGGGGGAUAACUACUCGAAAGAGUGGCUAAUACCGCAUGAGAUCUACGGAUGAAAGCAGGGGAUCGCAAGACCUUGUGCUACUAGAGCGGCCGAUGGCAGAUUAGGUAGUUGGUGGGAUAAAAGCUUACCAAGCCGACGAUCUGUAGCUGGUCUGAGGGGACGAUCAGCCACACUGGGACUGAGACACGGCCCAGACUCCUACGGGAGGCAGCAGUGGGGAAUUUUGGACAGUGGGCGCAAGCCUGGUCCAGCAAUGCCGCGUGCAGGAUGAAGGCCUUCGGGUUGUAAACUGCUUUUGUACGGAACGAAAAGCCCUGGGUUAAUACCCUGGGGUCAUGACGGUACCGUAAGAAUAAGCACCGGCUAACUACGUGCCAGCCGCCGCCGUAACAC
rnacentral:rRNA from 1 species